GUAUCAAGCCUGGACCUGAGAACACCAGAGACCAGAUAUGGAUUCCUCAGAGCUGUAAGACUUGUGACCAUGUUGAGGACUCCACACACUGGCUUCAGAUUGAACCCUUGACUUCCACUGUCCAGGGAGUGACAAUGUUCCGG